AACGAGAACGGCAUUGAAGGAAAAUCCUGAUGGAUCCAAUUCGGCAGUGGCGAAUCCAGGAUUCUCGAGUCACAGUGUAAAUGUGUCGAAUUUUUUUUAGGCUAAACUGUUGAGGCAUUUUUUUAGGAUAAAUGAGUAAUUUCCUAUCCAACUAUUUAAAUAAUAAGAAUAACAAAUUUUUUUAAAAAAACACACUAAUACUCUACCAU
rnacentral:lncRNA from 1 species